GGUUGUGGCUCAGUGGUAUAGAGCACUUGCCUGGCAUGUGUGAGGGAGGCCCUGGGUUCUAUCCUCAGCACCA
rnacentral:tRNA from 1 species